rnacentral:lncRNA from 10 species
GAGAAGCCUCUAGUGCAGCGCUAGGCCCCACCUCAGGGCGCGCUGGGCUUCGCUCCUCCUCCCCCACUUCGCAGAGGGAAGCUGAGGCACAGCCCGGCUUUAUGGAACCCAGCUGAGGACUGCGGAUGGCGGGAGAAGCCCUGGGGCCGCUCUCGCUGCUGGUCCGGGGCUGCUGGCAGCUCUGCGCGCUGGUCCCGGAAGGCUUUGUUCCAAGACAAGCCUGCAUUUCCCAAAAUAAUCCAUGGUUUUUAGGGCUGGUAACCUGCAGCCCCUCCGCCGGCCUGCCCUUUCUCAGAAACAACCACUUUCAACUAUUUGAGCUCUUUCCUCUGUUUUGUUUGUUUGUUUUUGUUUGUUUUAUUGUUGUUUGUUUUUGAGACAGGGUCUGGCUCUGUCACCCAGGUCGGAGUCCAGUGGCACAAUCCCAGUUCACUGCAGCCUCAACCUCCCUGGCUCAAGCGAUCCUCUCACCUCAGGCUCUUGAGCAGCUGGGACCACUGACCACUCCCGGCUGAUUUUUUUUUUUGUAUUUUUGUAGGGACAGGGUUUCACUAUGUUGCCCAGGCUGGUCUCAGACUCCUGGCUCAAGCCAUCUUCCCACGUCAGCCUCCCACAGUGCUGGGAUUAUAUGUGAGAGCCACCACGCCUGGCCCUGAAUGUACUUUUAUAAUGUGACUUUCUGCUUUCUAUUUAUGCUUCUUUCUCCCCUCCUGUGUUCUGUUAGAUUUAUUACAUUUUCGUCAUUAUUUUUUCCUCCACAGGUGUGGAGGUUAUACAAGCAGUUUCAGUCAUUUUAGUGGCCACCUUAGAGGUUUCACGUUGCGUUUUAGGCCCAGGGCAUUGUCUCUAGCUAUCUCCUGUGCGGUGCUGGGAGUGCAGGGCCCUGUGGCUCACAUCCCCUCGUCCUUGUGGGGUCUGCGGGUCUGGAGUUCGGGCUUCACUUUGUUUUUUCACCCUUGUCCAGGCCGGGCUCCCGUAAGCAGAUACUGAGACGAGGACUCAAAGGGACAGUUUUUUUGGGGGAAUUCCAGGAAGCCACCGUGGGGCAGCUGGAGGUGAUGAGGGUGGGAAGGGGCCAGCCCAGGGCUGAGCAGAUGACACUGUGUGCAAGGGGCCAUGGCUCCGGUGUUCACCCCAUCACUGUUGCUUGCCCUGGGCUCUGCUGAGGAGGCCUCAGGCAGAAGCUGCACAAGGAAGGGAACGGCAGGAGAAGCCGGGAGCCGUGAAGUCCUUUUCCUACUGAGCCCGUGCUCCAGGCCCAAGGGAGCCCUGUGGGUCCAGACCCCGUAGAUGCCGCAGCAGCACCGGGUCCACUCGACCGCAGCGAGGUUCCGGCUGCAGCUCCACCCUCAGAGCCAACCUCAUGCUACCAGGGCAGCAGCAGUUCCAACAGCCAAG